AGAAGUUUAUAUAGCGCAAAAGACUGGCCAGCCACAUGCUUGCUCAUUCGAUUAGUCUUGUGAUCGACCUGAAGACGCCUUUCUCAAUGUCGAAGUUAUGUCUUAGAAAUGCUUCAUUGGUGUUUAACGUUAGUUAUUGGUACACUGCUGCCACUUGAGUCUUGCAAUGCUCCUGAACUGGUUAUUAACUCCAAGUAGCUAGAUUGGUAGUUGUGGAGGGUUGGGCCUUGCAGAACCAUGCACGUGGGGAACUGGAGAAACGUAAAACCAUUCCGGGGUUCUAGAUUCGGGAGCCCACUCCUUCUGGACCUGGCCAGGGCGGUAUGAACUGGAGCAUACCCCAUUGACUGCACAUGGCUGGAGUGAUACCGCCCCAAUGAGUUGAUGACUAGAAGACUCAUGGUGUUAAACCACCCCAAUGGGUUGAUGGCAAGUAGACGAGUAUCCUGGUAAGGUGGUGUCCCUUUGAAUAACAUCCCUGCAAGUUCUCCCUGGACUGGACCUGUGGACGUUCGGUUGCCCCCUUGCUGAUUCUCAGCUCCCAUCGAUACUUCAGAUUCUCUUCCACGUGGCUGGCGUUUCCAAGAUGGCCGGCGCUUCCUUUCUUCCUCUGGAAGUGAUCAACUGGAAGAAAGGAGUUGUUGUGUGGUAGCCCAUAUGGGACUCGCCUGGGACAUGGAUGCCUGAAGACCUAAGGCUCAACAUUGUUAAUAAAUAUCAUGAGCAGCAGUGUGCAGUGGUUUCCUUUGUCUUUUCCAUGUGUGUUCUGCUUCGUUUAUUUGAGGUUUUGCUGAGUAAUGGUGUUUGUCUGUGACUAUAGAAAAGACGGUCAUUCUUUUUAACUUCAAUAAAUCAGUUUUAACCAAG